rnacentral:rRNA from 1 species
UGGGGAAUUUUGGACAAUGGGCGCAAGCCUGAUCCAGCAAUGCCGCGUGUGUGAAGAAGGCCUUCGGGUUGUAAAGCACUUUUGUCCGGAAAGAAAACCUUCGCCCGAAUACGGUGGGGGGAUGACGGUACCGGAAGAAUCAGCACCGGCUAACUACGUGCCAGCAGCCGCGGUAAUACGUAGGGUGCGAGCGUUAAUCGGAAUUACUGGGCGUAAAGCGUGCGCAGGCGGUUCGCUAAGACCGAUGUGAAAUCCCCGGGCUCAACCUGGGAACUGCAUUGGUGACUGGCGGGCUAGAGUAUGGCAGAGGGGGGUAGAAUUCCACGUGUAGCAGUGAAAUGCGUAGAGAUGUGGAGGAAUACCGAUGGCGAAGGCAGCCCCCUGGGCCAAUACUGACGCU